GAUGCCGACACAACGAAGUAGUCUAUGACGCUUCCGCCCUUAUUUUGUAAAAAGGUAAGCUGGCAGUUAGAAGAGUCAGCUGGACUCCCAUUUAAUAUACAGUGGUACCUCGGGUUACAGAUGCUUCAGGUUACAGACUCUACUAACCCAGAAAUAGUACCUCGAGUUAAGAACUUUGCUUCAGGAUGAGAACAGAAAUUGCACAGCAGCGGGAGGCCCCAUUAGCUAAAGUGGUACCUCAGGUUAAGAACAGUUUCAGGUUAAGAAUGAACCUUCAGAACAAAUUACCUUAUUUUUUGCUCUAUAAGACUCACUUUUUCCCUCCUAAAAAGUAAGGGGAAAUGUGUGUGCGUCUUAUGGAGCGAAUGCAGGCUGUGCAGCUAUCCCAGAAGCCAGAACAGCAAGAGGGAUUGCUGCUUUCACUGCGCAGCGAUCCCUCUUGCUGUUCUGGCUUCUGAGAUUCAGAAUAUUUUUUUUCUUGUUUUCCUCCUUCAAAAACUAGGUGCGUCUUGUGGUCUGGUGCAUCUUAUAGAGUGAAAAAUACGGUAAGCUCUUAACCCGAGGUACCACUGUAUAUAUAGUUUGUGCAGGAAGACCCAUUCCAGCAGUUCCAGUUCCUGAUGACUGACUCUCUUGUCCAUAGAAGUUCAUGGGAAGAGGAAGAUUUCCUCCUUGCCAAGCCCCUGUCCCUGGUAGUGUAAUUCCCUCUGAGCUGCCUCCAAUGCAGGCAUUGAAAUCUGAGCAGACAUUUCACAAUAAACUGUUCUAGAGGUUUUGUCAGAUCCAACCAAAUGUUAAUGCAGAAAAAAUGAACCUCCUGGUACUACACUAAACUGCAAUGGCAGGAAAUAUUUAUAAAACAAGCCAGACUCUACUACAAUAAUUUCCCCAGCUAGAUCAGAUGAUCAGGGCCCUCGUUCCUCACCCUUUAAAGACUUCUUGACCGCUGGGAGACUAAACUGGUAAAUUAUUAUUAUUAUUAUUAUUAUUAUUAUUAUUAUUAUUAAUUUAUACGCCACCCAUCCUGUUGGGUUUCCCCAGACAGUCUGGGUGGCUCCCAAAAGAAUAAAAAAAAGAAUAAAACAUCAAAUAUUAAAAACUUCCCUAAACAGAUGCAUGGGGUUAGUUUCUUGUGGCCAAGUCUCUUGUAGGCAAAUACUAACAUUUUAUUUUGUUUUGCAUGAACUCUAUCAAAUAUUUCCCCCCUUCUUACCCCACAAGAUUCCAAGUAAGAAUACUGAGAUCUUUCUGGGAGCUUCCGAGUUAAUGACAAAGUCUUUCUGGCAGUCUUACAGUAGUGCAAGCAUUGCUGUACCUGUUUUCCCAGCUUUUGACCGUGAGAGUAGCUUAACUGCAGAGCUUAUAAGAGAGCGACCAAUUCUCAGUUCCCCUUCCCUGGAUAAGAAACUUCUGCAGUCUUAGAGCAGAUCCGGAUGUUAUUGGGGGAGGCACUAAACACUGGGGUCUCAACCCUUUGUUGUGCCCUGCCUCUAUCGCUCUGUCUUACAUUUCUGGGUCUCUCAGUCCAACUUCCAUUAUGUGUUGGGGAUGUUAUGUUCCUCUGCUACACCCAGCAUUCAUGUGGGCCCCUUUUAACUCAAAAAAUGACAUCUCUAUUUGCAAGCAAAUAAAUCAGAGACCAGAAUUCAUCUCGUUUUCCAUGAAAACCAGUUCAGUACUGCCCUUCUGAUCAUACAUGCCCACCCAGUUGCAACAAAAGUCAUUGUCAAGUUUCAUAGAUGGCCCUAAAAUGUCCCACAUGUCCGCUAGCAGUUUGGUCUCAGAUCUCACUGGUCCACUGGACUUCAGAACUGGCCACAUGUGUGAUCACCUCAAGCCCUGGGAACACCAUGAGGAUUUGAAUUAGCUCCCUUCAGAUGAAGGGGUCUCUAUAGUAGUUAUCACACCAGCAUGGGAACAUUGAAGUGGUUUCUGAACACCCAGACAGCAGUCAGAAAAAGCUGCCCAGGCAGUAAAACAUUGCUUGGUUACAAAAUGGUAAAGGACCCUAAACUACUGGUAUACAAAAAAGCCCUAGUUUCAGAUUCCAUUCAUGUCUGAAACAAAAGCUGCUGGUUAAAGCCAUGCGGCUGAGCAGAAGAAACCAGUGCAGCCCUCCUCACAUACUGAACCCAUAUAUAGAGUGAGUACGACAAAAGGCUUGAUUUCCUCCCAAGGUGAGGGGAAGUGACAUAAGCCAAGGCUGGCAGGACAGCUUACUCUAUGACAUUAACCCCUUGAGGCAUUUAUUAGACUCAAGUAUGCUGGUUGUGUGAGGCUGGCAACUCUACAGACCUUCCAAGUAUCCCUGUUUUUCAGGGACAGUCCUGGAUUUACAGAAGCCGUCCCAGUUUCUGAUUUGAUCCCAGAAUGCCCCACUUCUCCUUAGGACAGGCAUAGGCAAAUUCGGCCCUCCAGAUGUUUUGGGACUACAACUCCCAUCAUCCCUAGUUAACAGGACCAGUGGUCAGGGAUGAUAGGAGUUGUAGUCCCAAAACAUCUGGAGGGCCGAGUUUACCCAUACCUGCCUUAAAGUAAAGGUAAAGGGACCCCUGACCAUUAGGUCCAGUCAUGACAGACUCUGGGGUUGCAGCGCUCAUCUCGAUUUACUGGCCGAGGGAGCCGGUGUACAGCUUCUGGGUCAUGUGGCCAGCAUGACUAAACCGCUUCUGGUGAACGAGAGCAGCGCACGGAAAUGCCGUUUACCUUCCCGCUGGAGCGGUACCUAUUUAUCUACUUGCACUUUGACGUGCUUUCGAACUGCUAGGUUGGCAGGAGCUGGGACCGAGCAACAGGAGCUCACCCCGUCGUGGGGAUUGGAACCACCGACCUUCUGAUUGGCAAGCCCUAGGCUCUGUGGUUUAGACCACAGAUGUCCUUAUUGGAAUAAUGUUGGAGGGUAUGGAAGAUGAUCCUCAUGAUGAGGAUGUUCAGUAAAAUUUCCUUGGCUGUCCACGCCUGUUCCCUCCUAGAAAGGGGUGUCUGCAGCCAGUUUCAGAACUGAACCCUGUGCUUCUGGCAAUCAGCUACCAUCUGAUGGGUGUGAUUUGGAGGGAAACUGCUUUGCAGGCCAAUUAGGAUCCCACUUGUGGUUCGAAAUUGGCCUGUGAGCCAGAAACUUCCUACUAUAGCUUUUCCAUGGCAGGGACACAGCCUUUUCGCCUUUGAACCCACCCACUUAAUUCCUUUGGCCUCAUCCACCGCUGCUAUGCAACCCCUGAGAUGUUCCCAGGGCCAGUUGUGCUUCCCCGAGCUGAAAAAGGGCCUCAUCCUUGUGCUUUCACUGGAAGGAAACAACACUUGGCCUUGGGCUCCAUGUAGAUGUUUCAGAACGGGACACCUGCAUGCUUAUCAGCCCACACUUGUCAUCUGGCGUGCGGUUGCAUUCCGAAUCUGUUUUCGAGCCGUCUUCAAAGGCGGCCGCUUGUAGAACAUGUUGUAAUGAUCUAAUCUGGAGGUUGCCAAAGCUGGGUGACUGCAACCAAGCCUGUUUCUUCCAAUGGAUAAACGAUGAUGAUAAAAUAUAGCUGUUGCGAUUCUCAAUUAAUACCUUGUGCAUGCUCUCUCGACCUGCCACACCCUCCAGGAACAUGAGAAGAGAAGAACCUGAUGGUCAGCCAGGUGUUUGUAGGGAAUCCUCAAACUAAAAAGCAAUUCUCUCCUUCUGUGGUUUCUAGCCUCUGACAACGAAGGCAGAGCUUCACCCGUGAGGUUAGUAGUCGUUGAUAUUCAGUGUCAGAUUUACCUAUGAGCUAAACAAGCUAUAGCAUAGGGCCCCACUCUCUUGCCCCCCCCAUAUAAAAGGUAAAGGGACCCCUGACCAUUAGGUCCAGUCGUGACCGACUCUGGGGUUGUGGUGAUCAUCUCACUUUAUUGGCCGAGAGAGCCGGCGUUUGUCCACAGACAGCUUUCUGGGUCAUGUGGCCAGCAUGACUAAGCCACUUCUGGCAAACCAGAGCAGCGCACAGAAAUGCCGUUUACCUUCCCGCCGGAGCGGUACCUAUUCAUCUACUUGCACUUUGACGUGCUUUCGAACUGCUCGGUUGGCAGGAGCAGGGACUGAGCAACGGGAGCUCACCCCGUCGGGGGGAUUCGAACCACCGACCUUCUGAUCAGCAAGUCCUAGGCUCUGUGGUUUAACCCAGAGUGCCACCCGCGUCCCUUAGUGCCAGAUUUACAUAUAAGCUAAACAAGCUAUAGUUUAGGGCCCCACCUUCUUGCCCCCCCCAAUAUUCUUCUUCUUAAUUGUAUUUCACUACUAAUAUACUUCUUAAUUGUAUUUCAGUUCAACAAUUAUUAUGCUAAAAUACAUAUUUUUUUAUGUGCAAAUGGCUUUAGAUACCUAUUAGGUCCAUAAAUUACCAUAUAGCAUAUAAUCAACACACAAAAUAAACAGCGACCAUUUGUUGUUGACAAAGGACAGCUGGACAUAUAAAGGGCCCCAUGACCUUCCAUAGCUUAGGGCCUCAUCAAACCUAAAUCAGGCCCUGUUGAUACUGCUAACCUUCCCUUUUGUGACUUUGUUUAAUCCUCUUUUAAAGCCAUCCAGGUUAGUGGUCAUCAAGAGUCUCUUAUGGGGAAGAGUGCCAUAGUUUAAUGAUAAGCUGUGUGAAGAAAAAACAUUCUUUUAUCUGUCCUGAAUCUUCCCACAUUCAGCUUCGUGGGAUUUCCAUGAGCUCUAGUGUUAUGAGAAAGGGGGGAAGAAGAAGAAGAAGAAGAAGAAGAAGAAGAAGAAGAAGAAGAAGAAGAAGAAGAAGUAGAGGAAGAAGAAGAAGAAGAAGAAAAGGAAGAAGAAGAAGAAGAAGAAGUAGAGAAAGAAGAAGAAGAAGAAGAGGAAGAAGAAGAAGAAGAAGAAGAAGAAGAAGUAGAGGAAGAAGAAGAAGAAGAAGAAGAGGAAGAAGAAGAAGAAGAAGAAGAAGAAGAGGAAGAAGAAGAAGAAGAAGAAGAAGAAGAAGAAGAAGAAGAAGAAGAAGAAGAAGAGCAUUUAUAUAUUGCCCUAUACUCAGAGGUCUCAGAGCGGCUUACAGAAAAGAUCACAAUACAGUCAUACCUAGGAAGUCGAAUGGAAUCCAUUCUGGAAGUCCGUUUUACUUCCAAAAUGUUCAAAAACCAAAUUGCGGCUCCUGCAGCCAAUCAGAAGCCACGGAAGCCCCGUCGGACAUUUGGGUUCGAAAAGAACGUUCGCAAACCGGAACAAUCACUUCUGGGUUUGCGGUGUUCGGGAGCCAAAACGUCCGAGUUCCAGGGCGUUCGGGAUCCAAGGUACGACUGCAUAUAAAAUCAAAAUCAAAACAAUAACCCAAUAACAGCACCUCCCAAGAGCUACAUUUUAAAAUGGUAUACUAGGUUUAACAGAUUAACCAAAGGCCUGGUUAAAAAGGAACGAUUUUGCCUGGCGCCUAAAGGUGUAUAAUGAAGGCGCCAGGUGAAUUUCCCUGGGGAGAGCAUUCCACAGACGGGGAGCCACUGCAGAGAAGGCCCCGUUCUCGUGUUGCCACCCUCCGGACCUCUUGAGAAGGAGGCAUAUGAAGGAGGGCCUCAGGGUUCAUAUGGAAAGAGGCGGUCCUUGAGGUAUUGUGAUCCUGAUAUUAUCUAUUUCCUCCAUGCCGUGCAUCAUGGGCACUCUAAGGGGCCCAGACCCCUUGGCCUUUCAAAAAUAUUUGCUCUCCCCGUUGACCGUGGCGAGCUGCCCCAGUCCUUUUCACCACCGCUAUGUGAGAGUGCCUCCCACUCUCCCGGGGAGCCCCCCCUCCUGCCCUGUCCUCCCCUCCAAUGACCUUGGUCUAGACCCAGUGCCCCACAAAUCCCUCAACAUGGAGGGGACUUGCCCGCCACCACCUGCUGGCAUCCAGGCAGGGAGAAGUGGGGGCUGUGCACAGCCUGGGCCUGCCGUUGUGCCCUUGCCAGUCCCCUGUUAGAAUUCCUGCUCCAAGAUUGCAGUCAUGGGAUUUUUUCUAUCACAUGACGCUAUCUGUCUUGACUCCACAGAGUGGGGAGUGACGGAGACAGGAUGCUUGUGUUACUGUGUUCCAUGAAGUGGGACUAUUGUCCUUUGUUCUUUCUCUUUGUUGUCUGAUGCUAGAGAGAGAGGGAGCCAUGUUGCAGUGCUCCGUGUGUGUUUAUAUGUAAAUAAAGUAGAUUAGCCAAAAUGCUGAGUUGCCAAGGUCUGUCACGCAAGCUGCGAAGACUCUGCGGAUCCCUAAGUGUGCCGGUGUCGGUUGGCAUCGGUCGCUGUGAUGUUCGGGCAGAAGAAAGCUUUUGAAGCUCCCGAACGACCGACCAGGAGGGAGGGGACAUGCCAGUAGGGCAUGCGUCUCUACCAGGGUCCUACUCGAGUGUAGGCCGAGCUCCUGACAUCCCCCACCAGCUCAGCGCCACCUCCCGCACCCAGAGCCCGGGCUGCCCAGGCCUCAGAAGUGCCAGGGCUGCCCAGGGCUGUGUUUGCUUGACUCUGGCCUCCCUCCCUCCUUCCAGUGCCCUUCUGGAGGGGCAGGGCAGGUGUGUGUGUGUGUGAUCAUUCCUCAUAUUUUAUUCAACUUGGCUCCACUUCAAUGCAAUUUAACAUGAAUUUUACCAUCUAACGAGACCAUUGAUCCAUAAAAUGAAAGCAAUAAUCAAUAUUCUGUACUAUAAAAUAAACAAGACAGUAUUGUAGAUGAUAAAAAUUAAAUUAUUAUUUUUUUCUUACUUGCACUGAUGAUAUUCAUUGUUUGGAUGGAGGGCCUUUAUCCAUUUCCGCAAUCACACAAUCAAUCAAUCAAUCAAUCAAUCAAUCAGUCAGUCAUAAAAUGAAAAACAAGCCACAGACACAAAAAUGAAAAAGCCACACAAACAAAAACGGAAAGAAAUAGCAAAAACAAAAGCCCCAAAUAUUACCUCAGAGCACUGCAAUCAGAAAUGGAGGGCUUUCAUUACGAUGGGGGUAGGGGACUUAAAUUUGCUGCUUAAGGGUAAAACGGAAGGAAGAAAUCCUUAAUUGCUAUGCGGGGGACUCAAAUUUGCUGCGCAGCAGUAAAAAUGGAAGCUCAGGAGCAUGUUCAGCUUCCGAGGCAAAGUUCGAAAGCCGGAGCACCUACUUCUGGGUUUGCAGUGUUUGGCUUCCGAGUUGUUUGGGAACUAAGCUGUUCAAAAACUGAGGUACCACUGUAAUGCGUUAUUAAAAUGUGGCACCAGAGGGCGCUGCAGAGCAACCAGGAACCAACAACAAGGGAAACUGCUGUUAGAGAGGUAAUGAACAGGUGGUAUUUUUUUUGGCAGUGAUGUUUUAGAACAAUACCGUUAAUAUUGUUCUAAUAACGUUUAAAAGGUCAUCGUAGAUCCAGCCCAGAACGCUACACAGUAUUCCACAUGUGGCUGCACCAUAGACUUGUAUAGCAACAUUGUGAUAUUGGCAGUUUCAUUUUCAAUACCAUUUCCUAGUGAUUCUUAGCAAGGAAUUUGCCUUUUUCACCGGGUUAGUGUCUCCGUUAAUCCAUCCACAAUGACCUUAAAGGUAAAGGGACCCCUGACCGUUAGGUCCAGUCGCAGACGACUUUGGGCUUGCACGCUCAUCUCGCUCUAUAGGCCGAGGGAGCUGGCGUUUGUCCGCAGACAGUUUUUCCAGGUCAUGUGGCCAGCAUGACUAAGCCGCUUCUGGCGAAACCAGAGCAGCACACAGAAACGCCAUUUACCUUCCAGCUGGAGCGGUACCUAUUUAUCAGUGAUGGUUCCGACCUGGUGGAAUGCUCUGUCCCAUGAGACCAGGGCCCUACAGGAUUUAACUUCCUUCCACAGGGCCUGUAAGACAGAACUAUUCCACCUGGCUUUCAAUUUGAACCUGGCCUGAUCUUUUGUUCCCCUUCCUUCCCUGCCCCUCCCCUUUUUAUGAAGAUUGCCUGCUCUGGGAUCCCACAGCUAAUUCUCCCCUGGUCUCCUCGCUGGCCCAAGUGGGACUAAUUUAGCCAGCUAGCCCUGGUGAUCAUCUGAAGCUGAGGCUCCAAUACUUUGGCCACCUCAUGAGAAGAGAAGACUCCCUGGAAAAGACCCUGAUGUUGGGGAAGAUGGAGGGCACAAGGAGAAGGGGACGACAGAGGACGAGAUGGUGGGACAGUGUUCUCGAAUCUUCCAGCAUGAGUUUGACCAAACUGCGGGAGGCAGUGGAAGACAGGAGUGCCUGGCAUGCUCUGGUCCAUGGGG